CGUAGGGUGCGAGCGUUAAUCGGAAUUACUGGGCGUAAAGCGUGCGCAGGCGGUGAUGUAAGACAGAUGUGAAAUCCCCGGGCUCAACCUGGGAACUGCAUUUGUGACUGCAUCGCUGGAGUGCGGCAGAGGGGGAUGGAAUUCCGCGUGUAGCAGUGAAAUGCGUAGAUAUGCGGAGGAACACCGAUGGCGAAGGCAAUCCCCUGGGCCUGCACUGACGCUCAUGCACGAAAGCGUGGGGAGCAAACAGGAUUAGAUACCCUGGUAGUCCACGCCCUAAACGAUGUCAACUGGUUGUUGGUCCUUCACUGGAUCAGUAACGAAGCUAACGCGUGAAGUUGACCGCCUGGGGAGUACGGCCGCAAGGUUG
rnacentral:rRNA from 1 species